UACAGAGGGUGCAAGCGUUAAUCGGAAUUACUGGGCGUAAAGCGUGCGCAGGCGGUUUUGUAAGACAGGCGUGAAAUCCCCGGGCUCAACCUGGGAACUGCGCUUGUGACUGCAAGGCUAGAGUACGGCAGAGGGGGGUGGAAUUCCACGUGUAGCAGUGAAAUGCGUAGAGAUGUGGAGGAACACCAAUGGCGAAGGCAGCCCCCUGGGUCGAUACUGACGCUGAAACGCGAAAGCGUGGGGAGCAAACAGGAUUAGAUACCCUAGUAGU
rnacentral:rRNA from 1 species